rnacentral:lncRNA from 1 species
UAAAAGUAACGUUUCAGUUUCUUCCAUUUGGGGCCUUAUGAACGUGACCUUGCUGUCCCCUCUCAGGGUCGUGUGAUUUUGAGUCCCACUCUUGUGGCUGGAAGGACAUCAGUGUGGGACAGUAUCGCUGGAGAUGGGAGAUGGCCAACAUCAGCCUGAUACCAGGACAGGACCAUACCACAGGAUCACCAUGGGGUAAAUGUCUCCAUAAACACACACACAAACACACACACACACACACACAGUACUUGACCUGUUUAAUCCAGGUGUUUAUGUGUCACAGGUCAUGUCAUGCAUGUGAAAGAAGAAUCAAGUCCAGGCAUUACAAAGGCUGUGUUGGAGUAUUCAGUUAACAAAACAGGGGCCCUGGGAUGCCAGAUCAGGUAAGAAUAAAUAGUCAGAGUCUCCCUUUGGUAAAUAGAUAGUUUAAUCAUUGCAUAAGAAAAGUAAUUGUUGUGCUGAAGAUGCACCUCAAUGUUUCAGCUUCUGGUCAUUCCUCAUUUAUGACAUGGGUUCGUCAACUAAUCUGUAUCUGAAGAUGAUCCGAGGCUCUGUGACCACUGAUCUCCUGCACAUAAAGCCUCAGCAAACUAAUGAAUGGCGGAAAUCCACAGCCUUCAUUGGUAAUCAACCAGGAGGUUUUAAGGUUGGCAUUGAAAACUAACACACACGCACAAACACAUGCUCGCACACACACACACACACACACACACACACACACACACACCCUCGCACGCACACACACAUGUUAAAUGCACAUUUGACAACAAAGCCAUUUUUCCGACCCUCAUGCAGAGUGACUUACAGUAAAUUGAUAACAGCAUACAUGUUCAUGUUCUCUGUCUUGCUCUCUUUAGUUAGUGUUUUAUGUGGAGCCGUCAUAUUUCGGUGCAAAGGACGUCGUGCUGGAUGAUAUCAGCUUUGACAGGUGCAGGGAGGGGGACAUACCGGCAGGUUCCCAAAACCUCACAUGUGACUUUGAGAAAGACACCUGUGCCUGGUACCCAGACCAGAUCACUUCCCAUCUGUGGAAAAGAUCACCAGGAAAAGACCACACAUCUGGCUCUGGUACGGCUGAGUGUUACCAAAACCUCAUAGUCUGUAGAGAGUCUCUUUGAUAAACAGAGAGGGAGAGAUGAGGAGAUGAGGAGAUGAGGAGAUGAGGAGAUGGAGAGAUGAGGAGAUGAAGAGAUGAGAGAUGGAGAGAUGAGGAGAUGGAGAGAUGAGAAGAUGGAGAGAUGAGCAGCUGGAGAAAUAGAAAUAUGAAGAGAUGGAGAGAUAAAGAUGGUUUUCAACAAAUGCUAUUGACUUUGUACUUUUCUUUGUAUGUUUUUUUUUUGGAGUUUGCUAUUCUCAGCUAAUUAAAUUUUUUAUUGUUUGGGUUUCAUUAAUGUGGUCAUAUGUAAUCUGUGCGUGUGUGUGUACAUGCGUGUGUGUGUGGUGUGUGGGUAUGUGUGUAUUGUGAUGCCAGGUUAUUUCAUGUCCAACAACCCUACCAGAAAUCCAGACCCAUCGUCAACAGCCAGACUCAUCAGCUACCCUCAACCAGCAGGCACAAUGUGUGUUAGCUUCUGGUAUCGUAUAUAUGGCAGUAAU